GACGUAGGUGGCGAACGUUAUCCGGAAUUAUUGGGCGUAAAGGGCGCGUAGGCGGCCGCGUAUGUCCGGUGUGAAAGCCCACCUCUUAAAGGUGGAAUUGCAUCGGAAACUACGUGGCUAGAGUGUCGGAGAGGAUGGUGGAAUUCCUGGUGUAGAGGUGAAAUUCGUAGAUAUCAGGAGGAACACCGGUGGCGAAGGCGGCCAUCUGGACGACUACUGACGCUGAGGCGCGAAAGCGUGGGGAGCAAACAGG
rnacentral:rRNA from 1 species